rnacentral:rRNA from 1 species
GUCCGCCUCACCGCGUGCACUGGUCCGGCCGGGUCUUUCCUUCUGAGGAGCCGCAUGCCCUUCACUGGGUGUGUCGGGGAAUCAGGACUUUUACUUUGAAAAAAUUAGAGUGUUCAAAGCAGGCCUAUGCUCGAAUACAUUAGCAUGGAAUAAUAGAAUAGGACGUGUGGUUCUAUUUUGUUGGUUUCUAGGACCGCCGUAAUGAUUAAUAGGGAUAGUUGGGGGUAUCAGUAUUCAAUUGU